UCCAUGUCACAAUGUUAGUUAACGUGCUCCUCCGAAAUGGCUUUACCGAUUUUUACUAAAUUUUAUAUGCGUAUACAGUAGGUCUGAGAAUCGGCUACUAUAUAUUUUCCAUACCCCUAAACUAUACAGGUUGAUCACCCUUAAAUUUUUUUUUAAUAUUUGGACGAAAUUUUUUUUUUAUUUUUUUAUAAUUUGGCAUUAAAAAAUAUAUACAACUCUAAAAUUUUACUUUUUUAUCACCAACCCCUAAUUUUUAAAGCCAUUUUAGAAAUGUUAUCAUUUUUCAUCCGGCUCGAUAACUGAUCAAUCAUAGUGUUUUUAACUGUACUUCGAUUAGAAAUCUAAACUUUUUUUAAGAAAAUAAACAUUUAUUGUUAUUAUUAAAGUUUAAUCCUGAUAAAUGCUUAGCGUUACCAAUCAUAGAAUCUUAAUUACGAUGUCGCGAAAUAAUAAGUAAGUUUAUGUUGUUAUAUCUUCAAGUUGUGAUAUUUUUUUGUUAAAGUUUAUAAAUUUAUCUUUGUUGAGUGGAAAAGUAAAGUCAAAAGUGGUUUUUAUUGGUUCUGUGAAGUUUUGUAAGAGAUAUUUUGUGACGCCCCAUUUUUGUAGCGCUGAGCACAUAUGCCCACAUGUUUUUUCAUAAACUUUUUGUUCACAUUUGUUAAUUUUCAGUAAAUGUUUGACACAUUUUUUCUUUCCGAUUUCUUUUUUUCUGUUUUUUUCUUUAUUUUACGGAAAUUCCAUAACUGAAACUCACUAUUCAGGUUAACUGUUGCUGACAUAGUCGAUAUAUUGGAGAAUGAAGAAGAUAUUAUAAAUGCUUCUGUUUACAUUUGCCCUCCUGAAAAUCACAUGCUAAGUGAUGGUGACAGUGACGAAGACGACGCCGAAGCAGGAAACUUUAAUCAUCUCUCUGGAAAUCAGCUACGAGCUGAAGGGCAGUUGCAAAUAGUUAGACAAGGUGGUGGUGGAUUGAAGCAUGAAUUUGUUGGGCGGGAAAAUCAGUCUGAUUCGGACGACAGUGAUGACAAUGUUCCUUUAUCUGAACUAAAAAUUCGGAAUCAAGCCCAAGUGGGAAAAUCAAAGAAAAAACCUCUGCCAGAUUGAGAAUGGGAGGACAAGGAUCUUCCAACGUAUGAGAGGCAAACUUGGACUGAACCUGACUUUCUCAACGACUCUCGGAGCCCUGUGGAGUGGUUUGAACUAUUUUAUGAUGACGAGUUAGUAGACUUGAUAGUACUUAACUCGAAAAAGUAUGCCGUUUAGGGGAACGACCAGUUUGACGUAACGCGCGAAGAAAUGCGUCUUGUAAUUGCUAUAUUUUUGUUGGGUGGCUAUUGUUCCUAUGCAAGACAGCGAAUGUUUUGGGACACAGGUGCUGAUACAUAUCACCCUGGCGUUGAAAUAUAUGCACGUAAGCGACAAUACAUUAUUUGAUCCGGGAGAUAAGUUUACAAAGGUUCGCCCAUUGUGGGAUAAACUUAACGCAAGUUGGAUUAGAUAUUUUCCGCGCUUUACGAAUGUAAUUAUAGAUGAAUCCUUGGUACAGUAUUACGGCCACCAUAGCACAAAACAACAUAUCCAUGGAAAACCAAUCCGAUUUGGUUAUAAGAUGUGGUGCAUGGCAACUCGCCUAUGGUAUUUGAUUCAAGCUGAACCUUAUCAAGGAGCUUCAACCGGUAAUACUAAUCCCGAGCUAGGAGUUAGUGGGUCCGUUGUUACGAAUUUGCUGUCUAAACUACCAAAUGGGUUCAAAUCCACGUCUACAUCGAUAAUUUUUUCACGUCACUUCCUUUACUAACAGCACUGAAAAGCAUAAAAUCCAAACCGAGGGGUAGCUAUCAUCAGAUUACUGAUAAGAAAUCAGGUAUUACGCUAGUUCGCUAUAAUGACAACAACGUAGUUACUUUGGCCUCCUCUGCCGAAGGAGUACUACCUCUGGGAUAGGCUCAACCAUGGUCAAGCAGUCAAAAGAAAAAGAUAGAUAUUCCACAACCGUUAUGUAUCCAGCAGUACAAUAGAUAUAUGGGCGGUACUGACCGACUAGAUCAGAAUGUGGGAUGUUAUCGAAUCAGUAUCAAUCGUAAAAAGUGGUACUGGCAGUUGAUGAUGUGGCCUUUGAACGUAUCCGUGAACAAUGCGAUUCAACUUUAUAAACUGUCUCCAGAUGGUCAAGAAAAUCGUUCAUUAGACUAUCUUGCAUUUAUCAGAGUAAUAACUACUACAUAUCUUGGAAAAUACUCCCUUCCACGUACAAUGGGUCGCCCCUUGAAGCCUCGUUGCAAAAGACGUAGAGUUCCAGACGGAGUUCGCCUUGAUGGUCAAGGCCACAUAAUAAUUUCAAAUGCAACCCAAAUAAGAUGUGCAAUGUGCCAUAAAAACACAACUAAAAAGUGUCGAAAAUGUGAUGUUGGAUGUCACACAAACUGUUUUGAGGCUUUCCAUUCAUAAUUUUAUUUAUAUUUAUUUUAAUUCAAUCAAUUAAAAAGUGGAAUCUGAAUUAAAUUUAUAAUUUUCUUUAAUAAAACUGAAAUCACAUCUUAUAUUAACUGAACUACAUAGUUUAUUUUUAGUGCUCCCUGGUGUGGCCAGCGCCCAAAUUUUGCUGGGUUUCGGCAAAAACUACGAGAGAUAUGAAUAAAAGGCCUUAAGCGCUUGGUUACUGGUGUCUCAUAGGUAACCGCAAUUGCUUCCUUUCCUUCAAAAUUUUUCUAGAAAAAAGUUGGGAUUAUAUGGGUUAAAAUUUGCCGCGCCUUUGUUGGUGAGUGAAAUGCCAACCAACAACGGAUUUUGCGUUUGAGCAAUGCCAAGAAAACAUAAGUAGGUCCAGAAGUAUGAGAGAUAAAAAAUCCCAAAGAACCGAAGAACCGAAGAACAAAUCCUGCAACAAAAUGCUGAUGCACGUGUGAGCAUGCAGCAAUUGCGUCAAAAACAUUCAGAACAAUGAAGUUGUUCGUUUAGAACAAUGACAAUCACGCCGUUUCACGGUUAAUAGACGCAGAACAAAUGACCAACAACGCCAACAGGUACAACGUUCAUUUACAGUUGAUUCAUUUUUGCGUCUAGCAUUCCAGUAUGAGUCCGAUAUUGAAUAUUAUGCUCAUUAAAAAGUGGGAGUUGGUGCUAUGGAUAAGGAAUGUCCUCAUUGUCAUGCUCUCAAAUUCAAAAAUGAGCAACCUGGGAUGUAUUGCGCGUCAGGAAAAGUGCAACUAUUGAAACACCACCUGAACCAUUGAACGCUUUACUUAUCCACACGGAUCCAGAUUCUAACGUAUUCAUGAAGUCAACUCGAUCAGAAAUAGUUCGAAAUAAUAAUGCUAAUGGUCAACAAUACAAUUUAACAUUCAAAAUCAGAAUCCAAGUUUAUCAUAAAAUGGGCUCAUUGCUGCCAAUGCCAAACGAACCACAUACAUUUCUACAAAUCUACUUCUGUUGGUGCUCUCAGGUAAUUUCAGACAAACACUUCCCGUGAUUCCACGUUCAACAUACGCUGAUGAGAUCAAGACUUGCUUUAAAUCAUCUCCAUAGUGGCAUAAUGUUGAAAAGUACAGCUGAAAGUAAAUCUGCGCGUUUAAAUGCUUCAAGAUCCAUCCGCUGAAACAUUCUUAAAACAAUUUUUAUACUUCGUUGAUGGAAAAGUUGCCACAGAUGAAACUGGAUACGUAAAAUUACCGACCGAUUUCUGCACAAUCACUGAUUCGCAUAAUACUCUCAUUGGAAAAAUAUUUCCCGAUGUACACACUCAGUACAUAAAAUAUGAGUGGUUUGCAGAAAUAGCUAUUUUAGCAGCAAAAAAUGCAGUCGUUGACAAUUUAAAUUUGAAGAUACAACAGUUGUUGCCAGAGAACUUGGUAUCAUACAAAUCUAUUGAUACAGUUUGUGAAGUGAAGUUAUCAAUUUUCCAGUGAAGCUAUCAAUUUUCCCACAGAUUUUUUGAACUCACUGGAUUUCCACCGCAUAAUAUACAAUUGAAGGCUGGAUCUCCAAUUAUCUUGCUUCGUAAUUUAAACCCGCCAUGGCUGUACAACGGUGGGAAUUUCAAAGGUGAAAACAUAUUCCUAUCAUACCUACAGAUGUGCCAAUUCAAUGCAAACGAAUUCAGUUUCCGAUUAGAUUGACAUUUGCAAUGACAACCAACUAAUCCCAAGGCCAAACGAUGUCUGUUUGUAACCAUGUUUUUCACCCGGGCAAUUGUACGUAGCAUGCUCUCGAGUGGGUAAACCAUCCAGUUUGUUUGUGCUCGCUAAAGAUAUGCUAACAAAAAAUAUUGUUCACC